rnacentral:rRNA from 1 species
UACGAAGGGGGCUAGCGUUGCUUGGAAUCACUGGGCGUAAAGCGCACGUAGGCGGCUUGUUAAGUCAGGGGUGAAAUCCUGGAGCUCAACUCCAGAACUGCCUUUGAUACUGGCGAGCUUGAGUUCGGGAGAGGUGAGUGGAACUGCGAGUGUAGAGGUGAAAUUCGUAGAUAUUCGCAAGAACACCAGUGGCGAAGGCGGCUCACUGGCCCGAUACUGACGCUGAUGCACGAAAGCGUGGGGAGCAAACAGG